GUCCACGCCGUAAACGAUGUCAACUAGCCGUUGGGAGUCUUGAACUCUUAGUGGCGCAGCUAACGCAUUAAGUUGACCGCCUGGGGAGUACGGCCGCAAGGUUAAAACUCAAAUGAAUUGACGGGGGCCCGCACAAGCGGUGGAGCAUGUGGUUUAAUUCGAAGCAACGCGAAGAACCUUACCAGGCCUUGACAUCCUAUGAACUUUCCAGAGAUGGAUUGGUGCCUUCGGGAGCAUAGAGACAGGUGCUGCAUGGCUGUCGU
rnacentral:rRNA from 1 species